UCAGGUGCAGUCUCAGGUGCAGCAGAUGUCCGUCAGGCUGCAGGUGGAGCAGGAGCAGCGGCAGCAGCUGGAAAAACAGCUGCAGCAGGCUCAACAGGAAGUGAUGGAGCUGCAGCAGCGGGUGGAGGCUGAUCAGAGAUCUGAGGAGGUGAAAGAGGAGCUGAAGGUGGAGGCAGUCCAGGUGAAGGAGGAGACGCCAGUGUGAAACACACUUUGUUUCCCUCGUGUCUUGUCACCAUGGUUACAUGCAGCAGAGGUUGCGGCUUCAGCGGAGAGACAGAAACCAUUGAUGGUGAUGAUGAUGAUGGUGAUGAUGAUGAAAAGUGACCAAAGUUAAAUAUGUUUUCUUUCACUGUGACAAAUAAACUGUAACGUCUGAAUCUGACGUUGUUUUUUCUU